UGGCAUCACCCCCUCCCCGGCUGGGUCGAGGUGCCGACAGGGCUGGCCGGGGUGCGCACGCGCAGACGUGGGCUGUGCUGAGCCGAUACGAGGCUCCUGUCACAUGAGCCGCGCGCCCGCUCCGCUCCCCCUCCUCCCGGCUGGGCUGUGAAUGAAGCUCUGCCGGCUACGUGGGGCGCUAGCUCAACUUAGUGUCCUGGACGCCAGAACCGACUCAGCGCUCGGGCCGCCGGCGGCGGACACGGGUUCCACCGCUUCUGACCUCGGCGACAGAGCAAAUCAGUUCCCUGGAGUGCCAAGUGAAGUUGUACGUGUGCCCGCGUGCUAACGUCAGUGUUCUGACCUUGAGCAUCUUGCAGAAAGCAAGACCAUACAACUGCUGUUCCAUCUACAUCCCAUUCAAGCCUCCCUGCAAAACUGGGGUGCUCCAGGAAAUUCAGCCAGUGACCCCAACCUGGGAAAGAGGAUCAAAUCAAGAUGGCCAUGUGGCAGGCAAAUUUCUAUCAUAAGAUUCUUAAAGGUGGGGAAGAUGGAUGUCAGAUCCUUUUUGGCCCCUUCUUCUCAAUAAAGACUUCCUUGGGACUUACAAAUUUUGAGAAAUCGUAUUUAAUGUUACAGUAUUUACGAUUUAAUACCAUGAAUUACACAAGCUCAAAGCCCAGUAGUGUCUUGCCUGAUAGAGUGUAUCUCUUAUGAAACUGUGAAUUUCUGCCACAUACAAAGACACUGUUAAUUUUGGUGGGGUGAAGGUUGUGCCCUUCAGAAGUGUAUCAGGAUCUCCAGGGCUAUAUGGGAUUUUUAUGUUUAUCAAAGGGAGUGUAGAUUUAAGAAAUGAUAGGCAUACAGUACCCAAAUUGGUCUGUGACCCACAAUAGAUGAAGGACCACUUAGAAGGAGUAUUAAAAAUGCUCAAAUAUGUAUAAAUAGGCAACAUUAGGUUCCUUGGUGGGCUAAUGUAUCCUUUAAAAACUGGCUCCUGUUGGUUAUGGCUUCAAAUAUGUAGACACAAGUGUCAUGAGUGUUGUCAAGUUAAAAAUCUUUGUUGAAAUGGACUCUGUCUGUGAGCCCACUUCCACUCACACAAUGGACAUUUAUGUAUCUGGAGCACUUUGGAUAUUUUGGUUUCGAUCGUGAAACAUUCUUACAUGCAACAAAUAGAACACAGAGAUGCAUAACAAGGGAAGCCCCUAGACAGAUCCUUGUCUUAAGGGAAAAACAAACAGAUAAAUAAAUAGUUGUGUCAGGUUGAGUGAGUGUCGUAUAGGGAGAGGUACAAAAGGUGCUAGAAACCCAGAGAAGAGCAUGCUGAAUUCUGAGUUUUGAGCUGAUCUGAAAAAAAUAAGUGGGAGUUUGCCAGAUGGGCAGACAGAAAAGCGCUGUUUGGGAACUUCAAGUUGCUCGGUUGCCCUCCUGUGCAAUAUGUGGGACAUGAUUCAGAUGAAGCAGGUAAGGUAGUUGGAGGUCAGAUAUAAAACAAAAGGCACCAUGUAUAUCUAGGAGGGAGUCUACACUUUAUCCUGAAGACAAAGAUUUUAAACUGGGAAGUAACAUCAUCAGAUUUUGUUUUAGAAAAAUGACUGGCAGCCGUGUUGAAGUGGGGCCAGAGCCAAGGAGCAUGAAAGCCAAGAACCUGUGGGUAUAGAGAUUUAGGAAAGAGAUGGUAGAAGCCGAGCACCAGCAGGGGCAGCAAGAAUAGAG